CCGGCUCCGGUUCACCCUGAUCUGUUUCGGGGACCCGGCGGCC
rnacentral:ncRNA from 1 species